AUUGAACGCUGGCGGCAGGCCUAACACAUGCAAGUCGAACGGUAACAGGAAGCAGCUUGCUGCUUCGCUGACGAGUGGCGGACGGGUGAGUCAUGUCUGGGAAGCUGCCUGAUGGAGGGGGAUAACUACUGGAAACGGUAGCUAAUACCGCAUAAUGUCGCAAGACCAAAGAGGGGGACCUUCGGGCCUCUUGCCAUCGGAUGUGCCCAGAUGGGAUUAGCUUGUUGGUGGGGUAACGGCUCACCAAGGCGACGAUCCCUAGCUGGUCUGAGCGGAUGACCAGCCACACUGGAACUGAGACACGGUCCAGACUCCUACGGGAGGCAGCAGUGGGGAAUAUUGCACAAUGGGCGCAAGCCUGAUGCAGCCAUGCCGCGUGUAUGAAGAAGGCCUUCGGGUUGCAAAGUACUUUCAGCGGGGAGGAAGGGAGUAAAGUUAAUACCUUUGCUCAUUGACGUUACCCGCAGAAGAAGCACCGGCUAACUCCGUG
rnacentral:rRNA from 1 species